CUGCGAGUGAAGCGGGAAAAGCUCAGACUGAAAAUCUUCGGAAUUGUAGUCUGGAGAGGUAUGGUCAGCCGAUGAUGAUGAGUGAAGUCUUCUGGAAAGGAGCGCCUUGGAGGGUGAUAGCCCCGUUCAUACUUAUCAUUAGAAGCGUACGACCUGCUUUCUACGAGUCGUGUUGUUUGGGACUGCAGCACUAAGUGGGUGGUAAAUUCCAUCUAAAGCUAAAUAUUGGUGGGAGACCGAUAGCGAACAAGUACCGUGAGGGAAAGAUGCAAAGAACUUUGAAAAGAGAGUUAAAUAGUACCUGAAAUUGCUGAAAUGGAACCGAUGGGAAGCAGUGUCGGUGGCGGGUAUUUAUACCUGUCACAAGCCAGGCUUCUUUUCUGGUGCGGGAAAGGCUGAUAAACUAGUUUAGGUUAUCUACGCCGUCGUGCUAGCGAAGGACU
rnacentral:rRNA from 1 species